rfam:Kuraishia capsulata CBS 1993 genomic scaffold, Kuraishia_capsulata_scaffold_4
GACACUAUGGCCGAGUGGUUAAGGCGGCAGACUCGAAAUCUGCUGGGCUCUGCCCGCGCAGGUUCAAAUCCUGCUGGUGUCG